GGGUUGUGAGGUUAAGCGACUAAGCGUACACGGUGGAUGCCCUGGCAGUCAGAGGCGAUGAAGGACGUGCUAAUCUGCGAUAAGCGUCGGUAAGGUGAUAUGAACCGUUAUAACCGGCGAUUUCCGAAUGGGGAAACCCAGUGUGUUUCGACACACUAUCAUUAACUGAAUCCAUAGGUUAAUGAGGCGAACCGGGGGAACUGAAACAUCUAAGUACCCCGAGGAAAAGAAAUCAACCGAGAUUCCCCCAGUAGCGGCGAGCGAACGGGGAGCAGCCCAGAGCCUGAAUCAGUGUGUGUGUUAGUGGAAGCGUCUGGAAAGGCGCGCGAUACAGGGUGACAGCCCCGUACACAAAAAUGCACAUGCUGUGAGCUCGAUGAGUAGGGCGGGACACGUGGUAUCCUGUCUGAAUAUGGGGGGACCAUCCUCCAAGGCUAAAUACUCCUGACUGACCGAUAGUGAACCAGUACCGUGAGGGAAAGGCGAAAAGAACCCCGGCGAGGGGAGUGAAAAAGAACCUGAAACCGUGUACGUACAAGCAGUGGGAGCACGCUUAGGCGUGUGACUGCGUACCUUUUGUAUAAUGGGUCAGCGACUUAUAUUCUGUAGCAAGGUUAACCGAAUAGGGGAGCCGAAGGGAAACCGAGUCUUAACUGGGCGUUAAGUUGCAGGGUAUAGACCCGAAACCCGGUGAUCUAGCCAUGGGCAGGUUGAAGGUUGGGUAACACUAACUGGAGGACCGAACCGACUAAUGUUGAAAAAUUAGCGGAUGACUUGUGGCUGGGGGUGAAAGGCCAAUCAAACCGGGAGAUAGCUGGUUCUCCCCGAAAGCUAUUUAGGUAGCGCCUCGUGAACUCAUCUCCGGGGGUAGAGCACUGUUUCGGCAAGGGGGUCAUCCCGACUUACCAACCCGAUGCAAACUGCGAAUACCGGAGAAUGUUAUCACGGGAGACACACGGCGGGUGCUAACGUCCGUCGUGAAGAGGGAAACAACCCAGACCGCCAGCUAAGGUCCCAAAGUCAUGGUUAAGUGGGAAACGAUGUGGGAAGGCCCAGACAGCCAGGAUGUUGGCUUAGAAGCAGCCAUCAUUUAAAGAAAGCGUAAUAGCUCACUGGUCGAGUCGGCCUGCGCGGAAGAUGUAACGGGGCUAAACCAUGCACCGAAGCUGCGGCAGCGACACUAUGUGUUGUUGGGUAGGGGAGCGUUCUGUAAGCCUGUGAAGGUGUACUGUGAGGUAUGCUGGAGGUAUCAGAAGUGCGAAUGCUGACAUAAGUAACGAUAAAGCGGGUGAAAAGCCCGCUCGCCGGAAGACCAAGGGUUCCUGUCCAACGUUAAUCGGGGCAGGGUGAGUCGACCCCUAAGGCGAGGCCGAAAGGCGUAGUCGAUGGGAAACAGGUUAAUAUUCCUGUACUUGGUGUUACUGCGAAGGGGGGACGGAGAAGGCUAUGUUGGCCGGGCGACGGUUGUCCCGGUUUAAGCGUGUAGGCUGGUUUUCCAGGCAAAUCCGGAAAAUCAAGGCUGAGGCGUGAUGACGAGGCACUACGGUGCUGAAGCAACAAAUGCCCUGCUUCCAGGAAAAGCCUCUAAGCAUCAGGUAACAUCAAAUCGUACCCCAAACCGACACAGGUGGUCAGGUAGAGAAUACCAAGGCGCUUGAGAGAACUCGGGUGAAGGAACUAGGCAAAAUGGUGCCGUAACUUCGGGAGAAGGCACGCUGAUAUGUAGGUGAAGUCCCUCGCGGAUGGAGCUGAAAUCAGUCGAAGAUACCAGCUGGCUGCAACUGUUUAUUAAAAACACAGCACUGUGCAAACACGAAAGUGGACGUAUACGGUGUGACGCCUGCCCGGUGCCGGAAGGUUAAUUGAUGGGGUUAGCCGCAAGGCGAAGCUCUUGAUCGAAGCCCCGGUAAACGGCGGCCGUAACUAUAACGGUCCUAAGGUAGCGAAAUUCCUUGUCGGGUAAGUUCCGACCUGCACGAAUGGCGUAAUGAUGGCCAGGCUGUCUCCACCCGAGACUCAGUGAAAUUGAACUCGCUGUGAAGAUGCAGUGUACCCGCGGCAAGACGGAAAGACCCCGUGAACCUUUACUAUAGCUUGACACUGAACAUUGAGCCUUGAUGUGUAGGAUAGGUGGGAGGCUUUGAAGUGUGGACGCCAGUCUGCAUGGAGCCGACCUUGAAAUACCACCCUUUAAUGUUUGAUGUUCUAACGUUGACCCGUAAUCCGGGUUGCGGACAGUGUCUGGUGGGUAGUUUGACUGGGGCGGUCUCCUCCUAAAGAGUAACGGAGGAGCACGAAGGUUGGCUAAUCCUGGUCGGACAUCAGGAGGUUAGUGCAAUGGCAUAAGCCAGCUUGACUGCGAGCGUGACGGCGCGAGCAGGUGCGAAAGCAGGUCAUAGUGAUCCGGUGGUUCUGAAUGGAAGGGCCAUCGCUCAACGGAUAAAAGGUACUCCGGGGAUAACAGGCUGAUACCGCCCAAGAGUUCAUAUCGACGGCGGUGUUUGGCACCUCGAUGUCGGCUCAUCACAUCCUGGGGCUGAAGUAGGUCCCAAGGGUAUGGCUGUUCGCCAUUUAAAGUGGUACGCGAGCUGGGUUUAGAACGUCGUGAGACAGUUCGGUCCCUAUCUGCCGUGGGCGCUGGAGAACUGAGGGGGGCUGCUCCUAGUACGAGAGGACCGGAGUGGACGCAUCACUGGUGUUCGGGUUGUCAUGCCAAUGGCACUGCCCGGUAGCUAAAUGCGGAAGAGAUAAGUGCUGAAAGCAUCUAAGCACGAAACUUGCC
rnacentral:rRNA from 1 species